UAUAAAAAAAGUCAAAAUCAUAAGUAAAAAAAUAAGUAGUUAGGUUAUGUGACGCAUGAAUGGCGGUAAAACAUUUCCGCAAAAAUUUAAUAAUGAAUCGUGAAUCACUGAGAGAGUUUUUUUUUAAAUUAGCAAGUGUAAUUAUUAGUCAGAACACAGAUAUGAACAAAGGGCGUGGAUUUGGUAUCAGUUGAAAUCCCUGAUUACGUCCGUCUGCAGAAUCUUGCUCUUUUAUGCAAUUUAAGCGUUUAUUAAAGUUUGCUCGCAAAUGAAACGAAGCCCAUAUAACCUACCUAAUUUAGCGAGUAGCAUUUUCGAGUGGGGACCACUCCAAGAGAGGAGGCAGGGUUCUAUUGACAGCGGUUAUUGCCUAACUGCGUACCUCAACCUAAUAUGCGCGCUCGGGGGAUCUGCAUACAGGGCCACCCGAACGAAAACUGCGAACACGCUCGCUCCAAUCUUUAAUUCGCGGCAGUCAACGAGCUUCAUGCCCCAGGCUUCAACACAGUACUUUCAUAAUGUCUGAUGUAUGCUUUAAUGUUCUUUUAUUCCAACCAUUUUAUCAGUUUUAUCUUUACCCUUCACAUUUAUUCCAUUCUUUUCUCUCUUUUCUAUUUUUCUGAACGAGAAAGCAAAAAUGUACAUCUGUAAUGAUUCUAAAAUCAAUUGAUUCCAGACAUGAAAAAAGUGAGGAAAUAAGAGCCAGGAGAUAUAAUAAAAAGAGACAGGAUAUAGAGUAGAUGAGAAAUAAUAAAAAGCUGGGAAGAGAUAUUUAAUAAAAGUACGAAUAUCGCCAAUAACUCAUCGUCAUUCGUGAAUAAUUUCCAAUCUAUUGGAAAAUAAUUAUACUUUAUCGCAGGCCCUCUUGACGGUUCUCAAAUCGCUCAAUUAUACUUUUCCCUUGUUGCAGUCAUCAUUGUCUUGCUGAUCUAUCCAAGUACACUUUCUCUCCUUGUUCUUUUUAACCUUCUCAUAUACAUUCUGUCCUUCUCAUUUCCGUCUCUUCAUUGCUUUCACCACUUUCUUCGA